UCUUUUCUACCUCUUUCCUCUGUUUCUGAGAGCGCUCUGCUCGCUCUGGUCCUGGGGUGCUCAGAGCAUCCUUGGGGUCCCCUGGGGUUCUCCUGGGUUUGGGGUCCCCCUUUGCUCCCUUUGCCACAUGGGAUCCGGUAAAAACUCUGCUCAAACCCUGCCCUGGGUGACCAUGGGGACAUCCAGGUGCCACCACUCCCUCGUGGUGACACUGUCCCCUUCCCGGGCUCUGCAGGUGACCGGCUGGUCAAGGUGAACGGGGAGAGCAUCAUCGGGAAAACCUACUCGCAGGUGAUCGCCCUGAUCCAGAACAGUGAUGAUGUGCUGGAGCUCUCCAUCAUGCCCAAGGACGAGGACAUCCUCCAGCUGGCCUAUUCCCAGGAUGCCUACCUGAAGGGCAACGAGCCGUACUCCGGGGGGGCUCAGAGCAUCCCCGAGCCCCCUCCCAUCUGCUACCCACGGA